rnacentral:rRNA from 1 species
UACGUAGGGUGCAAGCGUUAAUCGGAAUUACUGGGCGUAAAGCGUGCGCAGGCGGUUAUGUAAGACAGAUGUGAAAUGCCCGGGCUUAACCUGGGAACUGCAUUUGUGACUGCAUGGCUAGAGUUUGGCAGAGGGGGGUAGAAUUCCACGUGUAGCAGUGAAAUGCGUAGAUAUGGUGGAGGAACACCGAUGGCGAAGGCAGCCCCCUGGGUCAAGACUGACGCUCAUGCACGAAAGCGUGGGGAGCAAACAGG